rnacentral:rRNA from 1 species
AUUGAACGCUGGCGGCAUGCCUUACACAUGCAAGUCGAACGGCAGCGGGGGAGAAGCUUGCUUUUCCUGCCGGCGAGUGGCGAACGGGUGAGUAAUACAUCGGAACGUGCCCUGUAGUGGGGGAUAACUAGUCGAAAGAUUAGCUAAUACCGCAUACGACCUGAGGGUGAAAGUGGGGGACCGCAAGGCCUCAUGCUACAGGAGCGGCCGAUGUCUGAUUAGCCAGUUGGUGGGGUAAAGGCCUACCAAGGCGACGAUCAGUAGCUGGUCUGAGAGGACGAUCAGCCACACUGGGACUGAGACACGGCCCAGACUCCUACGGGAGGCAGCAGUGGGGAAUUUUGGACAAUGGGCGAAAGCCUGAUCCAGCAAUGCCGCGUGUGUGAAGAAGGCCUUCGGGUUGUAAAGCACAUUUGUCCGGAAAGAAAUGGCUCUGGUUAAUACCUGGGGUCGAUGACGGUACCGGAAGAAUAAGGACCGGCUAACUACGUGCCAGCCGCCGCCGUAA